GCACUGACCCGCUGCUCAGCGCGAACUUCCUUGGCGGCGCGGAGCUCCCCGGCUGGCGGUGCGUCUCCUCCGUCACCAUGAAAGACGACUUCGCAGAGGAGGAGGAGGUGCAUUCCUUCGGUUACAAGCGGUUUGGAGAUGACCACCUGACACAAGCAGAUCUCUUCUCCAGCCUUUUAAUAAGCAGGACAGUCCUGAACUCAGGAUGUGAUGGUCAGACCAGGCCUGUCAAGCCUCUUGUUGUCCUUUGCAAGUGGUGACUCUUAGAGCUGAUUGGCCUCUGGGUGAAUAGCAACUUGACACCAGGGCCUUCUGGGAAUGCCAGAAUCUUCUAAGAAACCAACUGUUCAGUUCUCAUAGGAAUCAGAGAAGAAGCAGCCUUCUAAUAGCCUUCAGACCACAGGAAGUUUCUUGGGCCCGUACAAGACCUGCCUUUAAUGAAGUCUCAAGCAUCCGAGCAUCCGUGGUUGAGUUAGGAUACCAAGUGACAGCCUUUCUAAAGUGCUGGACCUCCACGUGCAAGGAAGGAAGUGCUUUCCCCAAGGGAGGAGCAAAAGGCAUACUGAGUAGGUGGUCAUUUUCAUGCUCUGACUUGAUUCUUUGAUCCUUAAACUCCGAAUCACGUCUUAUUUUCAGCCUCCUAUUGCUGUGAUUUGGUGUUAAGUUUUGUUUAAUGUAGCACCAAAGGCAGACAUUCAGUGUAGGAAUGGCACUGUGACGUCAGGCAGAACCAAAGGUUAAAUUUGAAAAUGGUCUGGGUACAGUCCCAGCUGCUUCCUUGCAGCAUUUUGCCUUCUGAAAACCUAUACCGUGUGAAAUCCUGUGACCAGAACCAUAGGCUUAGGGUAAGGGAUACAACACUCAGCAGCUUUGCUGAUGACAUAUGUCAAAAAAAAAAGAGAGAGAUAAGAACCUAUACGAAUGCUAAUGCAGUUAUGCACAUGUUAAUGGCCAAGUAGAUAUGUUCAACUAAACAGGGUACUUUGAAAAGUUUGCUGGAGGAGGCAGGCGCUGGAAGGGUUGCAGCUUGUGAAUGGAUGGAAAGAGGGCUGUCUGAUAUCAAAUGGAAAGUUCAGGCACAAGACAUGGAUGUGUGUGACUCACUGCAUGCGGUGAAUGGAGAUAGCUGGUAGAUAUGCGGAGUGCAAAGUGUGUGUGCACUUGGUGUGUCCCAGUGUGGCUCAGUUUGGCUGGAUGCACUUUUCUCAUUCCCUUGAUGUUUAUCAUCGGAGAAAUUGUGUAAAGGCAAAAAAGCGAAAUUCAUGUCAUGCUCAGACCGCUCCCAGAUCUACCGAAUGGGUUGGAAGGAGCAUGUGUUUUCGCAAGUGAUGUAGCAGAACUGACUGUAAUCUUAUCCCUUAACUUUUAUAGAAGGACAUUGAGACCUAGGUUUCAAUGAGGUUUUGUAGCCAGAUUGGUAGCUGAGCUGAGUGUGGGUUCCCGGACACCAGGCUCAUUUUACAGCAGGAGCAUUCACACCCUCUGUUGUCUUUCUCUGUGUUUUAUAAACUCCUGCUAUCAUUAUUUGUAUUGCUGGUGAUAAUAUCAUUUUAGUACUUAAGUGUUUUCAUGUAGAUUUCAGAACAAGCUCUUCAGUAUGGAUGGUUCCCUUAAUGGAAUAUCUGGAACUGAAUAUAUAUUUGUUAGUACAUGAAUGACUAAAUUAAUGAAAUGAAUGGAGGGACAUAAUCAAAUCUAGGUUCAUUGUGGAUCCAGUUCCAGACAUGAGUGUAGUUGGACAUAGAGAGGAUAUAUCUUUAGAGGUAAGGAUGCCAGUGCUCUAUCCUUAUACUCCUCAUGUCUUCUUGGGUUGGUGUGGAGUUUAGCAAAAUGGUUAAGAGUAUGGGCUUGUGACAGAUCACCAUCAAGUUAUUUACCCUUUCCAGAUGAUCCUGAUGGCUACCUCAUUGACUUUCUGUAAUAGCUGAGAUCAUGUAUAUAAACCCUUAGCACAGUGCUGGGCACGUGGCAAUGGAUCAGUAAGCGUUAGCAAUUAUUCUUAUUAUCAGCAUCAGCGUUAUCAUCACUACAAGUACUACUGUUGCUGCUUUUCCAGCACACCCCUCUGUAUGUUGGAAGGAGCCAGUGAAGAUGAGAAGGGACCUUGGUACUUGUGAGCUGUAGCCUAGUUUUCCCAGCUACUUACUGGACCUCUCCACCCAGAUACAUGACCUCAAACUCAGUGCCCCAAGUCAGACUCAUUAGCUUUUUCAUAUAUGUUCCUCCUCCUGAACCCAUUGUUACCAGUGCAUCACUCUUCACCCAAGCUGGAAACCUCGGUCUUCCUUUAUUCUCUCCUUCCUCUUCCACAUCCUGUGGGUCAUCCAUUCAUACAGCAGUAGCUUUAUUGAACACCAGCUAUGUGCCAGGCACUCUCCAAAGUGCUUCAAGAAAUAAACAUGUUACCCAUCCAUUUUACAUAUAGCAGUGUGCAUAUGUAACAGGGACCUACUGUUUAGCGCAGGGUAACCUACUCAGUGCUGUGUAAUAACCUAUAUGGGGAAAGAAUCGGAAAAGGAAUGGACAUGUGUGUAUGUAUAACUUUGCUGUACACCUGAAACAAACACAACUUUGUAAGUCAGCCCUACUCCACUAAAAUAUAUUUUUAUUUAUUUAUUUAUUUUUGUCUUUUUGUCUUUCUUCUAGGGCUGCACCCACGGCAUGUGGAGGUUCCCAGGCUAGGCGGUCCAAUCAGAGCUGUAGCCACCAGCCUAUGCAAGAGCCACAGCAAUGCCAGAUCCGAGCCACGUCUGUGACCUAUGCCACAGCUCACAACAAUGCCGGAUCCUUAACCCACUGAGUGAGGCCAGGGAUCAAACCUGCAACCUCAUGGUUCCU
rnacentral:lncRNA from 1 species